rnacentral:lncRNA from 1 species
CUUUAUUGUUGCAGCAGUGUUGUGCAGCAGUGUAUACAACAAAGGUCUGGUCAUGCCGGCCACAACAAGGGGCAAGAAAGUCUCGGGCGUCAGUCCUCAGUCGGGAGAUAGAGCACGUCCCGCCGCAAGUCGGGCACCGGCGUCCCUACACCAGCGUAGAGCAGCCGAUCCAAAGGCCUGGCUCUGGAGCGAUCCCGAGCCACCUGUAGCAUAAAGAUCAAGCCACAUUUGUUUCAGCCAGCCACAGCAGCGCUCGACUCCGACCUCCCAAGCGUCUGAAGCCCCGGCCGGCAUCCUCAUCUGUGUCCAUGUGGUAGCAGUCCAUCUUUAGGUCUGCCUUUUCAGAAAAGAACACGAACAGCGGAGGCGUGCGGUCCGGCCACAUAUGAUCAUUGGAGGCGUCCUACCACUACUGAAGGAAGAACCAAACCAGCGUGUCCUAAGAACCCUCACCCUGCGACAGAAGACUUGCUCUCUUGCACUGGAAGACGCAAAUGCCGCGCUGCACCUUCCAGGGAGGAAUUGGACCCUGCCUCGCACCAACUCUGCCUUACCCUCACCCUGCGACAGAAGACCGUCUCUUCUUGCACUGUAAGACGCCAAAUGCCGCGCUGCACCUUCCACGGAGGAAUUAAUUGGACCCUUCCUCGCACCAACACUGCCGUGACCACACACAGCGUGGUGCCAUCCAGGAAGGGUAGACACUGCCUCGCUCCAACGCUGCCCCGACCACACAACACGUGGUGCCAUCCAAAAAGGGAGGACACUGCCUCGCACCAACGCUGCCCUGACCACACACAGCGUGGUGCCAUCCAGGAAGGGUAGAUAGACACUGCCUCGCUGCAUCUCUGAUCUAACUAAUGAUAUGAUGUUGCCAAUCCCUCUUGUAAUGUGCUUAUUCUUUCCAUCUAAUGAGAAUGUAAUUGUGUUAUUAAUCCCUCCUUGUUGUAAUGUUUUUAAUCCUUCCAUGUGUUUGUUGUAAUGUUAUUUAUUAAUCCUACCAUGUGUUGUAAUGCAUCCACAUAACUGGUGUUAGUACAAUAAAUAGUAAUUAAG